rnacentral:rRNA from 1 species
UACGAAGGGAGCUAGCGUUGUUCGGAAUCACUGGGCGUAAAGCGCACGUAGGCGGAUGUGUCAGUCAGGGGUGAAAUCCCGGAGCUCAACUUCGGAACUGCCUUUGAUACAGCACGUCUUGAGUCCGAUAGAGGUGGGUGGAAUUCCUAGUGUAGAGGUGAAAUUCGUAGAUAUUAGGAAGGACACCGGUGGCGAAGGCGGCCCACUGGAUCGGUACUGACGCUGAGGUGCGAAAGCGUGGGGAGCAAACAGG